UAUUGGACAAUGGGCGAAAGCCUGAUCCAGCCAUGCCGCGUGCGUGAUGAAGGCCUUAGGGUUGUAAAGCUCUUUUACCAGGGAAGAUAAUGACGGUACCUGGAGAAUAAGCGCCGGCUAACUUCGUGCCAGCAGCCGCGGUAAUACGAAGGGGGCUAGCGUUGCUCGGAAUUACUGGGCGUAAAGCGCACGUAGGUGGGUCGUUAAGUCGGGGGUGAAAUCCUGGAGCUCAACUCCAGAACUGCCUUCGAUACUGGCGAUCUUCGAGUCCGGGAGAGGUGGGUGGAACUGCGAGUGUAGAGGUGAAAUUCGUAGAUAGUCGCAAGAACACCAGUGGCGAAGGCGGCUCACUGGCCCGGUACUGACACUGAGGUGCGAAAGCGUGGGGAGCAAACAG
rnacentral:rRNA from 1 species